rnacentral:rRNA from 1 species
UACAGAGGUCCCAAGCGUUGUUCGGAUUCAUUGGGCGUAAAGGGUGCGUAGGCGGCGUGGUAAGUCGGAUGUGAAAUCUCGGAGCUUAACUCCGAAACUGCAUUCGAUACUGCCGUGCUUGAGGACUGGAGAGGAGACUGGAAUUUACGGUGUAGCGGUGAAAUGCGUAGAUAUCGUAAGGAAGACCAGUGGCGAAGGCGGGUCUCUGGACAGUUCCUGACGCUGAGGCACGAAGGUCAGGGGAGCAAACGGG